GUAUUCCAUACGGAAUACAUAUACUAAAAUUGGAACGAUACAGAGAAGAUUAGCAUGGCCGCUGCACAA
rfam:Daphnia pulex DAPPTscaffold_297_Cont8443, whole genome shotgun sequence.